AAUUCUGACAGCUAAAAUCCAUCACCCAAUAGAGCAAUUUUCCCCGUUAGCAAAAGGAGUACAGGCUCCCAUGAUUACCAAAUAAUAAUAGUAAUAAUAAUUGCAAUAGCAGUAAAAGAAAAAUCAAACGAAUACGUAAAAACCAAAAUUACAAAAGUGAAAGUAACCAAAGGGAAAUCAAAGUCCAAAGAAAGAGAGGGAAGAGAAUUACCGUACACAAAGGAGUGAAAU
rnacentral:misc_RNA from 1 species